rnacentral:rRNA from 1 species
ACGCGUUGGGAGCUCACCCAUAUGGUCGACCUGCAGGCGGCCGCGAAUUCACUAGUGAUUAGAGUUUGAUCAUGGCUCAGAUUGAACGCUGGCGGCAGGCCUAACACAUGCAAGUCGAGCGGUAGAGAGAAGCUUGCUUCUCUUGAGAGCGGCGGACGGGUGAGUAAUGCCUAGGAAUCUGCCUGGUAGUGGGGGAUAACGUUCGGAAACGGACGCUAAUACCGCAUACGUCCUACGGGAGAAAGCAGGGGACCUUCGGGCCUUGCGCUAUCAGAUGAGCCUAGGUCGGAUUAGCUAGUUGGUGGGGUAAUGGCUCACCAAGGCGACGAUCCGUAACUGGUCUGAGAGGAUGAUCAGUCACACUGGAACUGAGACACGGUCCAGACUCCUACGGGAGGCAGCAGUGGGGAAUAUUGGACAAUGGGCGAAAGCCUGAUCCAGCCAUGCCGCGUGUGUGAAGAAGGUCUUCGGAUUGUAAAGCACUUUAAGUUGGGAGGAAGGGCAGUAAAUUAAUACUUUGCUGUUUUGA